rnacentral:tRNA from 1 species
GGGAAAGCGCCAACGAUGGUGAGUUGGGACGGACUGUAACUCCGUUGCUAAAUAGCUUAAUAGGUUCGAGUCCUAUCUAUCCCA